AUUGAACGCUGGCGGAAUGCUUUACACAUGCAAGUCGAACGGCAGCACGGGUGCUUGCACCUGCUGGCGAGUGGCGGACGGGUGAGUAAUGCAUCGGAACGUGCCGUAUAGUGGGGGAUAACGCAUCGAAAGGUGUGCUAAUACCGCAUACGCCCUGAGGGGGAAAGUGGGGGACCGUAAGGCCUCACGCUAUACGAGCGGCCGAUGUCCGAUUAGCUAGUUGGUGGGGUAAAGGCUCACCAAGGCGACGAUCGGUAGCUGGUCUGGGAGGACGACCAGCCACACUGGGACUGAGACACGGCCCAGACUCCUACGGGAGGCAGCAGUGGGGAAUUUUGGACAAUGGGGGCAACCCUGAUCCAGCCAUUCCGCGUGAGUGAAGAAGGCCUUCGGGUUGUAAAGCUCUUUUGUCAGGGAGGAAAUCCUUAGCGUUAAUACCGUUGGGGGAUAACAGUACCUGAAGAAUAAGGACCGGCUAACUACGUGCCAGCCGCCGCCGUAAAAC
rnacentral:rRNA from 1 species